GACGAACGCUGGCGGCGUGCUUAACACAUGCAAGUCGAACGGAAAGGCCCUGCUUGCAGGGUACUCGAGUGGCGAACGGGUGAGUAACUCGCGGGUUAUCUGCCCUGCACUUCGGGAUAAGCCUCGGAAACUGGGUCUAACACCUGCCAGGUGCUAUCUUUAGUGUGAUGGUUGGAAAGUUUUUUCGGUGUAGGAUGAGCUCGCGGCCUAUCAGCUUGUUGGUGGGGUAAUUGCCCACCAAGGCGGCGACGGGUAGCCGGCAUGAGAGGGUGGACGGCCACCUUGGGACUGAGGUACGGACCAGACUGGUACGGGAGGCAGCAGUGGGGAAUAUUGCACAAUGGGCGCAAGCCUGAUGAGGAGGCGCCGCGUGGGGGAUGACGGGCUUCGGGUUGUAAACUCCUUUCGCUAGGGACGAAGCUUUUUGUGACGGUACCUAGAUAGAAAGCACCGGCUAACUACGUG
rnacentral:rRNA from 1 species